UACGUAGGGUGCAAGCGUUAAUCGGAAUUACUGGGCGUAAAGCGUGCGCAGGCGGUUUGUAAGUCUGUUGUGAAAUCCCCGGGCUCAACCUGGGAAUGGCAAUGGAGACUGCAAGGCUAGAGUUUGGCAGAGGGGGGUAGAAUUCCACGGUGUAGCAGUGAAAUGCGUAGAUAUGUGGAGGAACACCGAUGGCGAAGGCAGCCCCCUGGGUCAAAAGCUGACGCUCAUGCACGAAAGCGU
rnacentral:rRNA from 1 species